rnacentral:miRNA from 1 species
GUGCUAGGAUUGGGGCU